GAUGAACGCUGACAGAAUGCUUAACACAUGCAAGUCGAUGGGGAAGUGGUGCUUGCACCAUGGUAACCAUGGCGGACGGGUGAGUAACGCGUAAGGAACUUGCCUGCGGGACCGGGAUAACAGCAGGAAACUGCUGACAAGACCGGAUAAGGUCAUGAAGCUGCAUAGCUUAGUGAUGAAAGGAGACGCCUGCGGAGAGCCUUGCGCCCUAUUAGCUAGUUGGAGGGGUAACGGCCCACCAAGGCGAAGAUAGGUAGCCGGCCUGAGAGGGUGGACGGCCACAAGGGGACUGAGAUACGGCCCUUACUCCUACGGGAGGCAGCAGUGGGGAAUAUUGGACAAUGGGGGCAACCCUGAUCCAGCAAUUCUGUGUGCACGAAGACGGUUUUCGGAUUGUAAAGUGCUUUCAGCAGGGAAGAA
rnacentral:rRNA from 1 species